UACAGAGGGGCAAGCGUUGUUCGGAAUUACUGGGCGUAAAGGGCGCGUAGGCGGCCUGCUAAGUCGAACGUGAAAUCCCUGGGCCUCAACCCAGGAACUGCGUCCGAUACUGGUUGGCUUGAAUCCGGGAGAGGGAUGUGGAAUUCCAGGUGUAGCGGUGAAAUGCGUAGAUAUCAGGAGGAACACCGGUGGCGAAGGCGCCGCUCUGGGCCGAAACUGACGCUGAGGAGCGAAAGCGUGGGGAGCGAACAGG
rnacentral:rRNA from 1 species